rnacentral:rRNA from 1 species
GGCUCAGAGUGAACGCUGGCGGCGUGCCUAACACAUGCAAGUCGCACGAGAAAGUUCUUCGGAAUGAGUAGAGUGGCGCACGGGUGAGUAAUGCAUGGGAACGUGCCUCUAAGCGGGGGGAUAACUACGGGAAACUGUAGCUAAUACCGCAUAAUAUCCGAGAGAUUAAAGGUGGCCUCUGCUUGCAAGCUACUACUUAGAGAUCGGCCCAUGUCCCAUUAGCUAGUUGGCGGGGUAACGGCCCACCAAGGCUACGAUGGGUAGCUGGUCUGAGAGGAUGAUCCGCCACACUGGAACUGAGACACGGUCCAGACCCCUACGGGAGGCAGCAGUGGGGAAUUUUGGACAAUGGGCGAAAGCCUGAUCCAGCAAUGCCGCGUGCAGGACGAAGGCCUUCGGGUUGUAAACUGCUUUUGUACGGAACGAAAAGGUAGCUCCUAAUACGAGCUGCUGAUGACGGUACCGUAAGAAUAAGCACCGGCUAACUACGUG